UACAGGGGGUGCAAACGUUGCUCGGAAUUAUUGGGCUUAAAGCGCGCGUAGGCGGCUACUUAAGUCGGAUGUGAAAGCCCUUGGCUCAACUGAGGAAGUGCACCCGAAACUGAGUGGCUUGAGUACUAAAGAGGGUCGCGGAAUUCCCGGUGUAGAGGUGAAAUUCGUAGAUAUCGGGAGGAACACCGGUGGCGAAGGCGGCGACCUGGGUAGAUACUGACGCUGAGGCGCGAAAGCGUGGGGAGCAAACAGG
rnacentral:rRNA from 1 species